UACCAGCACCCCGAGUGGUCGGGACGAUUAUUGGGCCUAAAGCAUCCGUAGCCGGUUCUACAAGUCUUCCGUUAAAUCCACCUGCUCAACAGAUGGGCUGCGGAGGAUACUAUAGAGCUAGGAGGCGGGAGAGGCAAGCGGUACUUAGUGGGUAGGGGUAAAAUCCGUUGAUCCAUCGAAGACCACCAGUGGCGAAGGCGGCUUGCCAGAACGCACUCGACGGUGAGGGAUGAAAGCUGGGGGAGCAAACCGG
rnacentral:rRNA from 1 species